UACGUAGGGUGCGAGCGUUAAUCGGAAUUACUGGGCGUAAAGCGUGCGCAGGCGGUUUUGUAAGUCAGAUGUGAAAGCCCCGGGCUCAACCUGGGAACUGCGUUUGAAACUGCAAGGCUAGAGUGUAGCAGAGGGGGGUAGAAUUCCACGUGUAGCAGUGAAAUGCGUAGAGAUGUGGAGGAACACCGAUGGCGAAGGCAGCCCCCUGGGCCAAUACUGACGCUCAUGCACGAAAGCGUGGGGAGCAAACAGG
rnacentral:rRNA from 1 species